rnacentral:sRNA from 1 species
CUAAGAGCUCAGCAGGCUAACAUCCUUCUGUUAGCUACAGAACGGUUAUCGGAGGGGUAGCUGCGGUGGAAGCUUUCCACCAACAGGCCUCAGUCAUGACCUAGAGGGAACUCUCCUAGGGGUGAGAGGUUCGUUCAAGCUCCAUGGCUCAUUGACUUCUUGGCUUCU